rnacentral:rRNA from 1 species
CCUACGGGUGGCAGCAGUGGGGAAUAUUGGACAAUGGGGGCAACCCUGAUCCAGCCAUGCCGCGUGUGUGAAGAAGGCCCUCGGGUUGUAAAGCACUUUCAGUGAGGAAGAACGCCUGGUGGUUAAUACCCAUCAGGAAAGACAUCACUCACAGAAGAAGCACCGGCUAACUCCGUGCCAGCAGCCGCGGUAAUACGGAGGGUGCGAGCGUUAAUCGGAAUUACUGGGCGUAAAGCGCGCGUAGGUGGCUUGAUAAGCCGGUUGUGAAAGCCCCGGGCUCAACCUGGGAACGGCAUCCGGAACUGUCAAGCUAGAGUGCAGGAGAGGAAGGUAGAAUUCCCGGUGUAGCGGUGAAAUGCGUAGAGAUCGGGAGGAAUACCAGUGGCGAAGGCGGCCUUCUGGACUGACACUGACACUGAGGUGCGAAAGCGUGGGUAGCAAACAGGAUUAGUACCCUUGUAGUC